AACUUGAUUUUAAAUUUAAUUUAAAUAAUUUACACUAAAUUUAAGUGGCCAUUUGUGGCUAGUGGCUACUGUAUUGAACAGCACAAAUUUUAAUCCUCAAAAGAAGUCAGAGAUUAUGUUUUUAAUGCCCUGUUGUGUUUUAGAAAUGUGGAAACAGAGUAAAGAAGAUUAAGUAAUGCGAUCAAGAUCACAUGUAGAACAUAGCUGCCUACAACAUAAAAAUAUAUACUCUUUUCUCUCUUUUCUCAGCAUUACAUCUUUUUCUCCAUUUUUCUGGAAUGAGUGAUAAUUUGACUUAUUUUAAAACCAAAUAUCAUGCAUACCAAAAGACAUAUGCUAGAAUACUUAACAACAGCCCCACACUGGAAAUUACUCAUAUAACCAAUAAGUCAAAUGAAUAAGUAAACUGUGGUUUAUUUAUACAAUAGAAUGUUAUACAAUAAUGAUAACGAUGUAUCUAUUCCUCUAUGUAAUAAUUUAGAUAAACCUUACCAUCCAUGUUGAAUUAAAGAAACCAAAGAGAAAAAGGCAUGUAAUGCAUGAUCCCACUUAUAUAAAGUACUUAGACUAAACAAAUCUACACUGUUAGAUUUGUUAUUCCUGGGGAGAGCAGUGGAGAAAUGGUGAGAGGUAGGUGGGAUAUAGUGGCGAUUUCUGAGAUAUUGUACUAUUUCUUGUUCUGGAAACUGGUUAUACUUUGCAAAAAUUCAUUCAGUCGUACACUUAGGAUACAUGCAUUAUAUUUAUUUUCUAUUGCUGCCUAACAUUACCACAAAUUUAGUGGCUUAAAACAACAUAAAUUUAUUAUCUCACAUUUUCUAUAGGGAGAACUCCAGGAUGGAUUCUUUGCUCACAGACUCACCAGGCUAACAUCAAGGUGUUUCUCUGGGUUGUCCUUCUCAUCUGGGGCUCAGGAUGGUCUUUAAAUCUCAUGGGUUGCUAUUAGAAUUAAUUGCCUUGCAAGACCGAGGCUGCUCUUUGCCUGCUAGCUGUAGACUGCUCUUAGAAUCUAGAGCCUGUCCAUAGUUCCCUGUCAUGCAGUCCCCAUAGCACUUUGCAGCAUGCAUAUUUACUUCCCAGGCCAUUCUGUAGACUGUCUCUCUCACUUCCUCUUCUUUAAUCAGCUGGAGGAAACUCUUUGCUUUUAUUUUUGUUUGUUUGUUUUAUUUUUUUUUCCACUUACAGCAUGGGGACCAAGUUACACAUACAUGUAUACAUACUUUUUCCUCCCAUUGUUGUGUUGCGAUGUAAGUAUCUAGACAUAGUUCUCAAUGCUACACAGCAGGAUCUCAUUUUAAAUCCAUUCCAAGAGCAAUAGUUUGCAUCCAUUAACCCCAAGGUCCUGAUCCCUCCCACUCCCUCCCUCUCCCCCCCGGGCAGUUGCAAGUCUGUUCUCCAUGUCUAUGAUUUUCUUUCCUGUGGAAACGUUCAUUUGUGCUGUAUAUUAGAUUCCAGUUAUAAGUGAUAUCAUAUGGUACUUGUCUUUCUCUUACUUAAUUAUUUCACUCAGUAUGAGAGUCUCUAGUUCCAUCCAUGUUACUGCAGAUGGCAUUAUUUUGUUCUUUCUUAUGGCUGAGUAGUAUUCCAUUGUGUAUAUAUACCACAUCUUCCUAAUCCAAUCAUCUGGACAUUUGAGUUGAUUCCAUGUCUUGGCUAUUGUGAACAGAGCUUCAAUGAACAUGCAGGUGCAUGUGUAUUUUUUAAGGAAAGUUUUGUCCAGAUAUAUGCCCAAGAGUGGGACUGCUGGGUCAUAUGGUAGUCCUAUGUAUAGAUUUCUAAGACUCUUUGCUUUUAAAGGGAUCAAGCCCACCUAAAUAAUCCCUAUAUCUUAAGGUCAACUGAUUAGGGAUCAUAAUUAUAUUAGCAAAAUCCCUUCUCAGCAGUACUUAGAUUAGUGUUUAAAUGAAUAUCUGGGAGAAGUUGUGUAUACAGCAGAGGCUGGGAAUCUUAGAGUUUUAACUAUGAAUUCUACUUACAGCAGGUACCUUUUUAUGUCUAGAUUAAAAAUUUUUAAUAUCUUCAAUAUCCCCUAUGAAGUACCAGGGAUGAGCUUUUCCAUCUAGAUACUACUGUCCUUCAUUUGCACUGCUUUAGAGUAAGAAUUAGCAUGAGGAAGGAGAUUGUGCUAAUGGCAUUAAAGUAGCAGUUGGUGGAAAAUGACACAGCUAAUCAUUAUUUUCAUUUUGUAUUCUCAAUUUUUUUUCCUUUUGCCAAAUAUUUAUGAGAGAGAAAAUAAACUUCCAAAUUUACCAUACUCCUAAAUAUAAAUUCAGGUAUCCUGGUCCAGAAAAUUAUCUCUGAACACAAUGUGAAAUUUAUUGCAAUGAUUGUUGACCUUGAUGUUCUUUAAAAUGCUAUGUUGGUAUAGCAGGCAUAGUUUCUUUCAUUAAAAAGAGAUAGGACUAAAGUGACUAUGGACUUGCACAGUCUAUAGGAUAGAGGGCCCUGUGUUUCAUGACAAAACACGCUCCCUUGACAUCCCCAGGCCAUGUAGGACUUGAUAGAUUGAGAAGAUCUCCAGCUCUGAGUUACUCCUGUGAAGCAACAUUCAAGCAGACAAAAUUCCAGUUCCAGAAGAAGUCUUUUUUAAGGGUGGUCAGACUGAGUUCACAGGAAUGACAUGUCAAGCUAAACCACCUUCAUUUCAUGACAGCUCAUUAGAUUAGUAGAGCAGAGAACUGUGUGUAUAUGAACAUCAGCAAAACACGUGACAUUUUCUCCUAUGAUAUUUUCAUGAAAAGCUAUAGACACAGACCCAGAUAUGAGUUCAGUUAGGCAGGAUUAUAUGUAGUUGACUACACAGAGAAGAGGCUCUUUCUUGCCUACUAUUGUCAGUCACUGCAGCCAAGUUUGGAAAAACAUGAUUAUCAAAAUUACAGAUGACACAGAAGUGGAAAGAAUAAAUUUGCUGGAUAAUGGAAUCUGUAUUCAAAAAGAUGUCAAUAGACUAGAACGAUGAGCCAGAUCUAACAAGGGGAAAUUUUAUUACCAAACAUUUAAAAGCUUUGCAUAUGUGCUCCCUAAUUAGAAUGCCCAUAGCUACCUAGUUUAAAAUACCACAUUAUUGUGCAUAAUUAAUUUGUAUAUUUGAUAUGUGAAAGGAAUAACACUAAAAAUUUUAAUUUAUAUUGUCUAACUUUCUUUACUUAACCAUACUAUUAGGGUGAAGGUAUUUUCCUUAAUUAUGCAUAAGUGGAGGUUCGGAAAAGUUAAUUUAUUUUGAGCAGGCCAGUUGGUAUAUAUACUUAAUUACUCUGGAGACCUACAAGUACAUACAUAAGUGGUUAAAGGAGCUUGUGGAGUAAGGAUUGUAAUUUUAUAGUGGAUUAUAAUUUUAGAUUUAUUAAACUCAGUAUAUGAAUAGUAAGAUGUGGCAAAAAAUAGUUAAUAUGUAAGUCUGAAUUCAUUAUCAAUGUAUUCAGAAUGCCAAAGAUGAGAAUUUAGUUUUACCUUAUCUGCUGAGACCCAGAGCUUUGGGUUCAGAUCUUAACAGCAUAAUUUUACAUGAAUAUAGACAAACUAGAGCCAAUUCAAAAAAAUCACAGUCACUUUUGUGAGAACACUCAAUAUAUG
rnacentral:lncRNA from 1 species